CCCAAUACACAAAAAACUCUUGGUUGUGUCUAUGGCCUGAUCUCAUCUGAUCUCGAAAGCUAAGCAGGGUUGGGCCUGGUUAGUACUUGGAUGGGAGACCACCUAGGAAGACCAGGUGCUGUAGGCA
rnacentral:rRNA from 1 species